GACGAACGCUGGCGGCGUGCUUAACACAUGCAAGUCGAGCGGUAAGGCCCUUUCGGGGGUACACGAGCGGCGAACGGGUGAGUAACACGUGGGUGACCUGCCCUCAGCUCUGGGAUAAGCCUGGGAAACCGGGUCUAAUACUGGAUAUGACUCCAUGACGCAUGUUGUGGGGUGGAAAGCCUUGUGCGGCUGAGGAUGGGCCCGCGGCCUAUCAGCUUGUUGGUGGGGUGANGGCCUACCAAGGCGAUGACGGGUAGCCGGCCUGAGAGGGCGACCGGCCACACUGGGACUGAGACACGGCCCAGACUCCUACGGGAGGCAGCAGUGGGGAAUCUUGCGCAAUGGGCGAAAGCCUGACGCAGCGACGCCGCGUGAGGGAUGACGGCCU
rnacentral:rRNA from 1 species